rnacentral:rRNA from 1 species
CAGCAGCCGCGGUAAUACGAAGGGUGCAAGCGUUAAUCGGAAUUACUGGGCGUAAAGCGUGCGUAGGCGGUUUGUUAAGUCUGCUGUGAAAUCCCCGGGCUCAACCUGGGAAUGGCAGUGGAUACUGGCAAGCUAGAGUGUGUCAGAGGAUGGUGGAAUUCCCGGUGUAGCGGUGAAAUGCGUAGAGAUCGGGAGGAACAUCAGUGGCGGAGGCGGCCAUCUGGGACAACACUGACGCUGAGGCACGAAAGCGUGGGGAGCAAACAGGAUUAGAUACCCCAGUAGUCCCUGUCUCUUAUAC